GAGUGUGACAGCACCCUUCUCGCCGGCCAGGCAUAACCAGAGGAGACCAGACUGCCAUCGCAAUGCACCCGGAUGGUUCUGCACAUGGCCCUGGUGGGGGGCAUGGGGGUCGGGCUGAGGAGGAGGCGAGACUCACGGGACAGGCCUGCGUCUGGUCCAGGAUGUCCAGGGUGCCGACACUUUCACUAUCACAGGUAAGGCCCUGGCAGCCUCCCUGCCCUCCACCUGCGUUGCUUCCUCACAGUAAAUGCCCUGGACUUGCUUUUGGCAUUGUACAGCCUCUUGCUUUUCCCCAUAUCACUUCCUACAAGGCCUGCUGUGGCUGCUGCGGGCCACCCUGAGGGGUGCCUGCUUCUUCCCCACCCUGACUUUCCAAAGGCGCAGUGGAAGGUGAUGGCCCUGUGAGUAAGGCCCUGAAGUCUGCAGUAAGCCACUUUCCCUCAACGCUGUCUCCCUUCCCGAAGGGAAAGCCACAGCCCUGGCUAAUGUUGGAGGAAGGGGAGGCCUGGACAGCUGCCUGAACCCAAGCUGGGCUCUGUGGGGCUGUGGGGCCAGCAGACGUGGGAUGUGAGCCACACUGGUAAUUUCAAUCUUCUAGUACAUGUUAGGAGGUGAUAUGGUUUGGAUGUGUGUCCCCACCCAAAUCUCAUGUGGAAUUGUAAUUCCCAGUGUUGGAGGUGGGGCCAGGUGGGAGGUGUUUGGAUCAUGGGAGCAGAUCCCUCAUGAGUGGCUUGGGCCAUCCCCGUGGUGAUAAGUGAGCUUUUGCUCUGAGUUCACACGAGGUCUGGUCAUUUAAAAGUGUGUGGCACCACCCUCCACUCCCUCUCUCUUGCUCCUGCUUUCGCCAUGUGAAGUGCCUGCUCCCCGUUCGCCUUCCAACAUGACUGGAGGCUCCUUGAGGCCUCCCUGGAAGCCGAGCAGAUGCCAGCACCACACUUCUUGUAAAGCCUCCAGAACCGUGAGCCAACUAAAUCUCUUUUCUUUGUAAAUUACCCAGCUUCAGGUAUUUCUUUAUAGCAACACAAGAAUGGCCUAAUACAGAGGGGAAAAUGAAACAGGUGAAAUUAGCAUUAAUAACACAUUUUAUUGAACUCAAUAUAUCUAAAUUACUAUUUGUCAACAUGCAAUCAAUGUAAAAGUUAUAAUGAGGCCCUGUACACACCUAUUUCGUAUAAAGUGCCUGCCAUCUGGAGCCUCUUUUCUAUUGCCCAUGCCUCCCAGCCAUGGUCAUGUGUAGCUUGGGGAUCCCCUAUUGGACAGGCUCAAAAAGAAGCACCCCAUCACUGUCCCCCAGGGCACCCCAUCAGAUCUCUGAACAAGUGCUCAGAACCCCUCCACCUAAAGGCUGCCCAGGAUGAGGGGGAUGGCAAAUGUGAAGACUCCCCCGCCCAACCUGCACACCAAGGCUUACUUCUGAAUGGACUUGCUGUCACUGAUGGGCACGUGAGAACUCGGCAGACAGUCUUCCUUCAUCUUCUCUUCCUCUUGUCUGCAGACCUAGAAGUUACUUGCUGGGAAGACAAGGAAGGGUGGACAGACAGGGACAGCCUGACUACUGGCUUCUGCCUCGGUUGCUCCUGCAAUCCUCCAGAGCUACCCUGGGCCUCUCUCCUGCCUUCCCGCUCAGCCAGGCAGUGGCCCAUCACUGGCUGUCCUGGCAGUGGGUUAGUCGGCACUGUGUUCCCUAUGUGCUGUAAAUGGUUGGCAUCUUCUCUGAGUUAUCUCCUCCAGUCCCUACAACGAUAUUGUGAGGUGAGUAUCACCAUAUUCCCAUUUUACAGAUGAGAAGACAGGGACAAGAGCUUAAGCACUUUGCCCAAGAUUACCAGCAAGUAAGCAGAAAAGCCACUGUUCCAGCACAAGCAUUUGGACCCCUGAUUCUGGUCUCUUAGUACCUUCUCUAUAUUGAUCACGGGCAGUGACUUAAACUCCCAAACCUUCCUUUCCUCGUCUGUGCAACAAGGUAAUCUCAAGCCCACAGGAUCAUUAGUGGAUCCACACACACGCGGUUCACACACACUGUUCCACACACAUACUAUUCCCUCUUUCCACACACAGCCUUGAUUGGUUUGAGGAGCCGCUCCUGCCCUCCCCAGGUUUCUUUCACGGACAGUAAAUCCACCAGAGCUUUCUCGAACCUGUUGGCAUCUGCACAGCUUCCUGUUCCUCUCUCUCCCCCAUGUCAAUGUGGCCAAGGACUCUUAUCAAGGCCUCCUACAUGCUAGGCAGGGAGGUAAAGCUUCACACACACAUACAUACACACACACACACACACACAAAAACACACGCAUACACAAUCACAUGCACACACACAUACAUUCACACUCAACACACACACUCACACUUAACACAUACACACAUGCUCACAUGCACACACACACACACAUACACAAACACUCACAAUCUCACAGACACACACUCACACACACACAUACUCCAGUGCUGACCUUGCCUCCACCUUCCAUCUCCCAAGUUGCAGCUCAGGGCUAGGGGUGUUAGGACACAUUGGGAGGGGGCACAGCCUGGGGCCACACCACAUCCUGCCCACGACAGAGCUCUGCUCAUUCACAACUCCCCCACAUCUGUUCACACAAACCCAUCAUGUCUUCCCGACCUGAGUGUGUGCAAAUGCCACGGGGGGCGGGGGGCUCAAGCUCAGCUCCACCUGCUGUCGUAUUUAUUAAUGUCCUCAGAGCCCAUCCCUGCAGAAUGCCCAGCUCCUCAGGCACUCACUUGGACCAGUCCAGUUUGCUCUCUCCCCCCUUGCUUGACACCCACAAAUGUGACAAACCUGCCCUCUGUGCUAGCAUCAGCCCUGCAUGAGCCUGUGAUGCAAGAGGCAGGGAAAUACAGUUGGCCUGGAGAAGGGGAAGGAUUUGAGGGAGUGGGCUUCCUGAUGACCUCAGGAUCAUCCUAUCCAUACCUCCCCUCUGCCUUGCUCCAGAGUUAGGCACCUCAGGGCCUGGAGAGAUGUCAGGCCCCCAGCAGCAAGGCCUGGAGCUGGGGACUUAUUGCUGCAUUUUUCUUGGCCAGGCAACAGGGAUUUCAACAUAAAGUUUCAGUUCCUCGGCACCUCCGCUUGCCCAUGGAAAAAGUGAUCUGCCCCCCUCUCUGGGUAGUUCCUCAUAUACUUGCAAGGCAGAAGCCUAGUGCAGCCCAGGGUGAGCCAUGGAACUGGGUUUCUUAGCCCACACUGCUUCUGUGGGUCUUCAGCAUAACGAAGUCUUGCUUUCAGCAAACUCAUUACAGGAAGGGCUGGAUUUACCCCAAAAUUACAGGCAGUGUUUUUUUCUCUUGCCUUCCUCUGUAUCCAGCUUCCACCCCAACUUCCUGCUCUAAGCCCUGGGCUCACUGAGCAAGUUCACGGCUCCCCUAAGGAGCCCUAUGCUUUUUUUCCCUUAGGGCUUUUGUAGUGCUGUUCUCUGUUCAGAACCCAGAACUACUCCUGUCUUCUGAUGUUAGCUCCUCCUGGAAACCCUUGCCAGAAAAGCCCCAGUCCAUGUUGGGGCAGCCCCUCUCUGCCCCAUCGUCUCUUCCCAUUUCCCCACUGGGCCCUGCAGAACCCAGCUCUUGUUUAGACUUCCCUCCCAAGAGAACGGGAACAUGGUGGGGGUGAGGGCGGGGGGUGCUUUACCACUAGUUUCCAGCCCCAAGCAUAAGCCUGGCACAUCGCAGGAAGUCCAUACAUGGUUGUUAAAUUGCUGAAUAAAUACAAGAAGCUUCUAGACUCCCUCCAAGUCUACUCUUCCAAAGCUGUGCACAUACAGCAGGAAUAAAUAAUAUAAAAGUCUCCAAUGGCCACGGAGGUGACUCCGCUGAGGGACAUUCGUCACGGGGUCCAUGGGGAAUGGGGGGCACAUUCCUUCUUCGACGGGGCAACUCUUUUGGCGUUUCAUAAGAAGCCAGGAAUCUGGAUUUUUCUGGGCUAUAUUUCACUACUGAAAGGUGGCUGGCUGGCAGAGGCAUGCACUGUCCCUGGAAUGCCCGUGUGGUCGCUCACCACCCCGGCCCUCUGCAGCUAGCUGGGGCUGUGGGCCUCAUUCUGACCACUGAGCUGCGAACAAAAGUGUUGUGGGUCCCUUCCAGGCCAGCAGCUUUAAGAGCCAGUGCACAACCCUCCAGUUCUCCUGUCUCCACCGUGGUGACCCAGAAAGCCAUGUGUUUCAAGCCAUGUGCAGCUACUCGAUGGUCAGCCUGGGUCCCUGAGUGACUGUGGACCAGAACUGUCUGCCAACCCACACUGGAUAUGGACUGAGAGGGAGAAAUAAACCUCUGCCGUGACAAGCCA